CUGCCGGCUCACGUAGGUUCGUUCGCGUGGUCUUGUUACGCCUCGCUGGGUCGUGUUCACUCAUGCCGUCCUUGCGCGGCGUCAUUGUCGGCGAGUCAGGUUAAAUUCUUUAAUAGGUCGCGCCUGCGCCUAAUUGAGUCUAUUAAAGACUGCACAUUCAGUUUUGCUGGCUACAAUUCAGUGUGGCUGGCGUGGGCUGUCUCCACGAUGCGCUUCGAGCGUGUCGAUUUCGCCGUUCUUUAUGUUGGCGGAAAUGACCGUGAAAGCAACAUGGAUCUACAAGAAAUAUGCAACAACAUCAAGGCCUUGAUUGUUCAGCGAGACGGCGCCCGUCGUGCUGGUUUUCAAGGUGCUCUCUCGCUGGCUAGAAGAUGCUGAUGCGGAACAGAAAAUGCAAAAACGUCGCUUGCUCCACCGCAAAUUGACGGCUACGCUGAAGCGCAUGCCGUGUCUGCGGAAUUUGAACCCCGAGGCACGUUCAUACUGAAGACGGAGCGGCUAAACCGGGCAAAGCUCUUGGCCAGGCGUAUAAAAGCAGGCGUUAAACGAGGCAGCAAGCCCGAUCGCUCGCGGACCACUUUUUUCCUGCCCGCCAGAGCUGUCCGCUUUGCUGCAGCCAAUUGGAACACCAGACGACGCUGGCGUGUGCGCGAUAAGGAUGGACGACCGGUGCUACGAGACGGCGACAAGUGCACCACAAAAACCUUUCCAGAGUUCCUUGGAAAAUCCUCCCAUGCACCUGCCAUGUACAUUGCCCCCGCCCCCUCCUCGAUGUGGCAUGCAAGAUGGCAGCAGCAGCUGUGGAACAGUUGAAGAGGGGAAGAAAGGUCCACAUUAUAAUAGGUUGUAUGUAAAUAAAACUGAUCGAACACAACUGA